AUGAACCCUCACCAUUUGAUGUGCUACCUUGGGAUGGAGUUCUACUCCAAAACUUCUGGAGGACCAUAUGUUGCCUACUUCAGUGCUAAAGCUAAGAAGUUUUUGUACAGUGUUGUGUCACUGUGGUACGUCUUCGGUGGAGGGACCCAUCUGACGGUCACUGGUCAACCAACAGUACCGCCUUCAGUGCUGCUCUUCCCUCCAUCCCAGGAAGAGAUCAAGACCAACAAGAAAGCCACCUUGGCCUGUUUGAUGGAUGGCUUUUAUCCGGGUCUCAUCCAAGUCAGCUGGCAGGCUGAUGGCACGGCCAUCUCCUCGGGAGUGGAGACAUCCAAGCCCACCAAACAGGAUGACAAGUACGUGGCCAGCAGUUACCUGACCCUGAGUGACUCAGAGUGGGAACGCCAUGACAUUUACGACUGCAAGGUGACACAUGACGGGAAGACCAUCACAAAGACGGUGAACAGACUGGAGUGUUCUUAAAGAUUGGGUGACUCAAUGGUGGCCCUCAUCCCUCUGGCCACCAGGAAGAAAGCAUCCUUCCUCCAGGAGGCCAGAUCCAUUGUCUUGUUUCCUCCUAAUGCUAGUUUGACAGAUAAAGGCUGUUUUCUGUUCUAUGUAGUUCUCCUCCCAGAACCAUCUCCAUGUCUGUAUGCCCUGGGACUCCCUUUGUAUGUCUGCUUAAUGUUAACACAUGAAUAAAAUUUGAUAUAUUUCA